GAUGAACGCUAGCGGCAGGCCUAAUACAUGCAAGUCGAACGCUCAGUAGCAAUACUGGGAGUGGCGCACGGGUGCGUAACGCGUACACAAUCUACCUCUAAGCGGGGGACACCUCCUGGAAACGGGGAUUAAUACCGCAUAAUAUGCCGAGGUCGCAUGACUUUGGUAUUAAAGCAGCAAUGCACUUAGAGAUGAGUGUGCGUCCCACUAGGUAGUUGGUGAGGUAACGGCUCACCAAGCCUAUGAUGGGUAGCCGGUCUGAGAGGAUGGUCGGCCACACGGGCACUGAGACACGGGCCCGACUCCUACGGGAGGCAGCAGUAAGGAAUAUUGGUCAAUGGUGGAAACACUGAACCAGCCAUGCCGCGUGGAGGAAUAAGGUCCUACGGAUUGUAAACUCCUUUUGACGAGGAAGAAGUGUUAGAUUUAUCUAAUUUUGACGGUACUCGUAGAAUAAGCACCGGCUAACUCCGUGCCAGCAGCCGCGGUAAU
rnacentral:rRNA from 1 species